rnacentral:rRNA from 1 species
AGAUUGAACGUUGGCGGCAUGCCUUACACAUGCAAGUCGAACGGCAGCACGGGAGCAAUCCUGGUGGCGAGUGGCGAACGGGUGAGUAAUACAUCGGAACGUGCCUAGUAGUGGGGGAUAGCCCGGCGAAAGCCGGAUUAAUACCGCAUACGACCUACGGGUGAAAGCGGGGGAUCGCAAGACCUCGCGCUAUUGGAGCGGCUGAUGUCAGAUUAGGUAGUUGGUAGGGUAAAAGCCUACCAAGCCGACGAUCUGUAGCUGGUCUGAGAGGACGACCAGCCACACUGGGACUGAGACACGGCCCAGACUCCUACGGGAGCAGCAGGUGGGAAUUUUGGACAAGUGGGCGCAAGCCUGAUCCAGCCAUGCCGCGUGCGGGAAGAAGGCCUACGGUUGUAAACCGCUUUUGUCAGGAAGAACGCACGUGGCCAAUACCCUGGUCGUAAUGACGGUACCUAGAACGAAUAAGCAACCGGCUAACUACGUAGCCAGCAGCCG